GGAAGUAAAAGUCGUAACAGGGUUUCCGUAGGUGAACCUGCGGAAGGAUCAUUAUUGUAUAACCGAGGUGCGUGGGCUGUCGCUGACCCGAAAGGUCGUGCACGCCCGAGUGCCCUCACACACAUCCAUCUCACCCCUAUGUGCACCACCGCGUGGGUCCCCCUUUGGCUUGUUCGGAGGGGGGCUUACGUUUUCACACAAACUUUGUAUGCAGUGUAGAAUGUAUUUUUUGUUUUUGCGAUCACGCAAUCAAUACAACUUUCAACAACGGAUCUCUUGGCUCUC
rnacentral:misc_RNA from 1 species